rnacentral:rRNA from 1 species
GACGAACGCUGGCGGCGUGCCUAAUACAUGCAAGUCGAACGCUGAAGGAGGAGCUUGCUUCUCUGGAUGAGUUGCGAACGGGUGAGUAACGCGUAGGUAACCUGCCUGGUAGCGGGGGAUAACUAUUGGAAACGAUAGCUAAUACCGCAUAAUAGUAGAUGUCGCAUGACAUUUGCUUAAAAGGUGCAAUUGCAUCACUACCAGAUGGACCUGCGUUGUAUUAGCUAGUUGGCGAGGUAACGGCUCACCAAGGCAACGAUACAUAGCCGACCUGAGAGGGAGAUCGGCCACACCGGGACUGAGACACGGCCCAGACUCCUACGGGAGGCAGCAGUAGGGAAUCUUCGGCAAUGGACGGAAGUCUGACCGAGCAACGCCGCGUGAGUGAAGAAGGUUUUCGGAUCGUAAAGCUCUGUUGUAAGAGAAGAACGAGUGUGAGAGUGGAAAGUUCACACUGUGACGGUAUCUUACCAGAAAGGGACGGCUAACUACGUG